AGCAGUAUCCGCGGUAAUACAGAGGGUGCAAGCGUUGUUCGGAAUUAUUGGGCGUAAAGAGCUCGUAGGCGGUUUGUCGCGUCUGCCGUGAAAACUGGAGGCUCAACCUCCAGCCUGCAGUGGGUACGGGCAGACUAGAGUGCGGUAGGGGAGAUUGGAAUUCCUGGUGUAGCGGUGGAAUGCGCAGAUAUCAGGAGGAACACCGAUGGCGAAGGCAGAUCUCUGGGCCGUGACUGACGCUCAGGUGCGAAAGCGUGGGGAGCAAACUGGAUUAGAGACCCCUGUAGUCCCUGUCUCUUAUAC
rnacentral:rRNA from 1 species